AUUUUGACAUAAACGAAGUGCUGUCUUUUUGCGCACCUUUGGAGCAGUAACCUGCGCCGUUUAUUGAAAGGGGCCUCAGUUUUUGUGGUCUGCUGAACGUGGUUUUCUCGGCACAAAUCAACUUCAAUAAAUUAGACGACAGCCAAACCGUGACAACAUUAGUAAGGAGAAAGAAGACUCUAUUGGUGAACCAAGACAAAAGAAACAGAGACUAGAGUCCAAACAGGUUCACAAAGACACUGCACAUGUUUCUGAGGACACAGAUUCCUUCAAAAAGGCAAAAGCAGCCUGCAACGUCCACAUGGUACAAGACAAGGAAUCCGGGAGUAUGGGUCACGUGCAAAUUACCAAGUUCUUCGCUUGCGGGACCGGUACCGGCUCUCUAGCCACUUCGAAGAAGAAACGGUAGCUGGGAUCUGCUAGUACUGCCUGACAUCUUGCAAGCAAUGCAGAUAGAAAUUUAGCGGUGUGGGAGAGGUGCUGGUUAUCGGUCUCUCUGGAAGAGAUUAAAUGAUCGUCAUGGGCUAGCAGUACGACGGUUGGUAAAGUUAUUAGUUGUAUGAUUAGUUACACUAAAGUUUGCAUUUGUAUCUCAUUGAGCUGAAUAAAUUGCACCUCGACAUUUCAGUCAUUGAAUAUUAGGAAUAAGCGGGUAUGUAGGAAUACAAUUGUUGAUUGCAGAGUGUGUAAACAGGGAUAUCGUAAUGACAUUACUAUCAAUUAUGGAUCCGGAAGGAGCAAAAUCUAGGAAAGGUCGACGACUGAAGCGCAGAGUUUAUGUAAACAAGGGUCCAAAUUAUGUUUGGCAUACAGAUGGCUAUGACAAGUUUAGUUCUUUUGGAAUUUACAUACACGGUUGUAUUGAUGGGUAUGCUGUCUUAAUUUUGUUUUGCUGUGUCAUCAAUUAGGUCACAUACUGACUUUGGACUGACAUUAAUUUUGUGUGUGCUUAUUUUGUUCUGUACAAAUCCUGUUGAAUAUAAUGUAGGUAUUCCAGAAAGAUCUUGUGGAUGAAGAUUUUUCCCACAAACAAGGAUCCAAGUGUUGUUGCUAAAUAUUAUCUUGAUGUUGUUAGAGAUAUUGGAGGAUGCCCUAGAGUGCUUAGAUCUGAUCAUGGCACUGAGAAUUGUCAUCUAGCUACUGCACAAAUUACUUUUCGCUUCUAUGGUACUAAUGCUUUCCCUGCUGACAGAAGCUUUCGUUAUGGAAAUCUACUACAAACACAAGAAUAGAAGGAUUAUGGUCCCAGCUGCGAACGCAAAUGACUGACAAGUGGAUACUAUUGUUUCAGCAACUGUCGGAAGAAGGUUGGAUAUACUCAAAUGAUAACACAAAAAUGACAUGUUUUGGUUUGUAUUCACUCAAGCUAUGGAGGCAGAGUUAGACUAUUUUACUCAUUGGUGGAAUACGCAUCACAUGUGAAAAACACACACAGCUAGCUGUCCUGGUGGAGUACCAGAAGAUAUUUUUGCUCUUCCUCAGCU